AACAAACCAAUUUUUUACCUUUCACCUAUAAUAUUUGACUCUUCAUCUUAUUUAAAAAAAUUUAUGAUUAACAUUUUUUAUUAGAUGAUAAAUCAUGAAUAGUAGUUAACGUGUGACUAUUUUUUUCAAUUUCUUGAAAGAAUUUCAAAUAAGAUAGAUGGUCAAACGUUGGAUACUGAAAUGAAGACUUGCUUAUC
rnacentral:pre_miRNA from 1 species